rnacentral:sRNA from 1 species
ACUCAACACUAAUAUAAUUAGAAAGGGUGAGUUUAGGCUGUAAAAGCAGGCCCUACUUGUAUAGGGAUCCUUGAUCAGCUUGGUAGCCCUAAACCUGUAUUUUGGAGUUU